rnacentral:rRNA from 1 species
UGGGGAAUAUUGGACAAUGGAGGAAACUCUGAUCCAGCAAUUCUGUGUGUGUGAAGAAGGUUUUAGGACUGUAAAACACUUUUAGUAGGGAAGAAAAAAAUGACGGUACCUACAGAAGAAGCAACGGCUAAAUACGUGCCAGCAGCCGCGGUAAUACGUAUGUUGCGAGCGUUAUCCGGAAUUAUUGGGCUUAAAGGGCAUCUAGGCGGUAAGACAAGUUGAAGGUGAAAACCUGUGGCUCAACCAUAGGCUUGCCUACAAAACUGUUGAACUAGAGUACUGGAAAGGUGGGUGGAACUACACGAGUAGGGGUGAAAUUCGUAGAUGUGUGUAGGAAUGCCGAUGAUGAAGAUAACUCACUGGACAGAAACUGACGCUGAAGUGCGAAAGCUAGGGGAGCAAACAGG